rnacentral:rRNA from 1 species
UAAGGAAUAUUGGUCAAUGGACGCAAGUCUGAACCAGCCAUGCCGCGUGAAGGAUGAAGGUCCUCUGGAUUGUAAACUUCUUUUAUCUGGGACGAAAACGGGAUUUUUAUCUCAAUUGACGGUACCAGAUGAAUAAGCACCGGCUAACUCCGUGCCAGCAGCCGCGGUAAUACGGAGGGUGCAAGCGUUAUCCGGAUUCACUGGGUUUAAAGGGUGCGUAGGUGGGUUGGUAAGUCAGUGGUGAAAUCUUCGAGCUUAACUCGGAAACUGCCAUUGAUACUAUCAGUCUUGAAUAUUGNGGAGGUUAGCGGAAUAUGUCAUGUAGCGGUGAAAUGCUUAGAUAUGACAUAGAACACCAAUUGCGAAGGCAGCUGGCUACACAUAUAUUGACACUGAGGCACGAAAGCGUGGGGAUC